rnacentral:rRNA from 1 species
UCAUUGGAGAGUUUGAUCCUGGCUCAGGACGAACGCUGGCGGCGUGCCUAAUACAUGCAAGUCGAGCGAAUCAAGAGGAGCUUGCUCCUCGAGGUUAGCGGCGGACGGGUGAGUAACACGUGGGCAACUUGCCUGUAAGACUGGGAUAACUUCGGGAAACCGGAGCUAAUACCGGAUGAUUCUUAUCUACACAUGUAGAUAAGCUAAAAGACGGCGUAAGCUGUCACUUACAGAUGGGCCCGCGGCGCAUUAGCUA